CUUGCGCAAAAGAAGCGCCUGUUUCUCCUCUACAAGACCUAUAUAGUCAUACCCCGUGACACCCCUCAUUAUUUUUCUCUAGGAGCCGUGGAAUAGGUCGACCCCCCCUAUUUUGGACCAUUUUUUUUCAAAUUUUGGGCUCUAGUUUCAGAUUUUUGAACAUAGCGCCCUUCGAUACCUUGCGCAAAAGAAGCGCCUGUUUCUCCUCUACAAGACCUAUAUAGUCAUACCC
rnacentral:lncRNA from 1 species